AUUGUCGAUAAAUGCAGUAAACAACAGGCUGCUUUCUCUCAGAAGAAGUUAUAUGAAGUUGUCAUCCAUUUGACGACCUGCAGUAGUGGAAAUCUGAACUGUAGUUUGGUUUUUUCACCCUCAUGGCAGAGUAAGAAGGAAUGAGAGCUCCUUCCCUAGGCCCUGUAUCUCCUCCAAGCUCACAGUCUGGCUCUGUGCGUAGGAAAAUAUGUGAAUGAUGUAACUCUGUCUCCUCAGCUUCCAAAGCAGAAGAAUUGAAUCAACUGAGAUGAAGAAAAAUAAAAGAAAAAAAAAAAGUGUGUUUGCAGGGGAGACUUUGCAGCCAGAAGGAAGCUGGGUGCACAGCCCUGCCUAUGAAUGGGGAUUACUUCUGCUUCUUAAAAGUUUUCUAGGUGUCAGACAGUCCUGGAACCAAGGACCUCCGAG